UUUAUUUACUUCUAAGAGUGGAUCCAUAACCCUAACUAGUUCAAUUUCAUAGUUUCAUUUAAAUUAAGUUGUUUAUAUUUAAGUUUUAAUUUCAAUUUUUAGUUAAAAUAAAAUAAACAAAUUAAAUCUUUUCUCUGUGGAUCGACCUCAGACUCACCGAGUUAUAAUACAACAAGACAUUCUUAUAUUUGGGAGUUAAAAAUUACUUUUAAGUUGUGUCAUAUAUGCCUCUAGUAAAUGGAGAUGACUAGGGUUUACUCGAUGACUCAUAAGACCUAACUAUAUCCCAGUGUUGUACAUUCUCUACUAUAUAGCAAAGGUAAUCUAAUGCAUCUUCAGGACUUUUGUCCUUAAAUUCACCAUUACACAUUAUUUUGAUGACCUGUGUACUUUGGGAUGUUAGUCCCUUGUAGAAAUAAGAUACCAACCUCCAUGUUUCAAAAUUGUGGUGUGGACAAAUGUUUAAUAGCUCUUUGUACUGAUCCUAGCAUUGGUAAAAAGUCCUCCUAGAUUUUUGAGUAAAGGUGGUGAUUUGUCUUUUGAAAAAAUUUAUUCUUUGGGGUGGGAAUAAUUUUUUCAAAAAUUGUGCUUGCAUUUCAUCCCAAGUUCUGAUAGAACCUAAGAUUUUGUAGCCAAGUUUUAGCUUUUUCCUUUAAUGAGAAAGGGAAAAACUUUAGUCUGAUUAUGUUCAUACUACAAUUUUGAUCAGUACAAGUGUUACAAACUUCUUCAAAUUUCCUCAAACACAAAACCAUGAAAAGUAGGUAAAAGUUGAAUGAUACUAGGUUUGAAAUUAAAACGAGAUGAGUCAGGAGGAAAAAUUAUGCAUGAUGGUGACCUUAUUCUGUAGGAUGCAUGAAAUCUCUAAGUGUCCAAAGCUGAUCAUAAAGAUAUUGUAAGGCUUGGCUAUCUAAGUGUUUUGAGAAGUAAUUAGCUCCAAUGUCGGCCAUGUCUAAGCAGAGGCGGAUGCAGCACAUGACCAGUGGGGGCUCAAGCCCCCACUGG
rnacentral:lncRNA from 1 species